GAUUGGGUCGAAUGUGUAACCAGAACGUGUGCAGCGAACUUUUCGAACAAGUUUUAGUGUUUAUAAAAUAUUAAAACUGUUGUAGGCUGGUUAGGUGCAUGUUUUGUUACAGGAUGAGCUGGUGUGGUUUAUGCAGCUGUCAGUUCUGACGGUCCUCGUUGCAUCACUGAGGUUGCAGAGCCCUUCUCCUCUAUUCUGGACGGUGAUACAGUGGAGCGUGGGUAGGUAUAAAAACCGUGAUUGCAUAGUGAGAGCUGGUUGGAUUUGAUGCGACAACGAUAGCGUUUGCGCUCUGAAUAUAAAUUCAAAGCGCCCAAUAAUGGCACCGGUGAAAGUAGCUAGGACUUCGUACUCGCCAUAGUUUGAUUGAUAUUAGGGCCCGAAUGGAACGAAGAUGAAACGUCUAUGAAAGAUAAUGCCGGGUUGAUUUCGGGCUAUUCUUUUAAUGAGGGAAUUGCAGUAAGAAACGUCACAUUUUCCCGCAUGUUUGCAAGAAUCUAGGCUUUCCUUGUAAUUUGUAAUAGCAGUCUGUGCAGGACGACGAGACCUUUUGCAUAGAGUGGAUCAUGUGUUCAACGAUAUGUCUUCGUACGUGAGUAGUGAAAUCGUGUAGUUCUAUAUCAUAUUGUAAUACUAUAGAGUGUAAUUUGUACUAAUCUGAACUGUCUCACAUUGCAAUUAGAUUCAUUGAAGACUAAGCAUGCUAAACGUACCUUUACCCUCGCUGCAAAUCGCACAUUUCGUGUCUCGUUUCAUGCAAUCAAACAAACGCCAAUGAAUGCACGACGGACUAACUAGGCAACCUCCGACCCAGCCAUCGACCGACACGAGUUGGGCUGAUUGUCGUCGAUUUAAUCACAAUUGGUUUUGGAACAAAACAAACGUGAUAACUUUAUUGUUUUCCCAGCAACAAUAUAAUUGCUGGUACAUAACUGACAUCUCGUCGCUGAAGCAUCUGGUCAUCUGGCGAGUUCUUACGCAGGAUGAACAUAUUAUUCACUGGUGUAGCUAUCUGGAAAUACUUCUCAUAAUCAAAAGAAAGAUUUCAACAUGAGGUCAAUCUGUCAGACAUGAUGAUGAGAUGAGAGAUCUUCUUGUAUCAUACCUGAAAUUCAUGGGGAAACAGGAAAAUGUUCUAUAUUUCAAAAUUCUUGUGCAUGGCCACAGACAAGGAACAAGUUUAAAAAGGUAGGGAGAGAAAUAUUAAGCAACUAAAAUCAGACAUGUUCAAUCUGAAAACACUCAACACUUCAAUCAAAUUACGAUGUCAAUUUCGCAGUUGAACGGUAUUAACUUUUGACGUACAACGGUAAGAUCCAAGUUCGCAAACAUACGACGAUCAAGCCAUAAACUGCUCGUAAACUUCACUUCUUUUAGGUGUACACCUAAGCAACAAAACGUACAAGACAAUAUAGGUGUACACCCAAUAUCCCAAGACGUUGUGGUUGCUCAUACCUAACAGAGCCAAGGCCUUAAGUAUAAGCAUGAUCUACCGACCGCAACUGAUCCAGUUUAGUAAUGCAUCAAUACACAAGUUUUCAUCUG